rnacentral:rRNA from 1 species
ACUGUGGUAAUUCUAGAGCUAAUACAUGCACUAAAGCUCUGACCUUGCGGAAAGAGUGCAUUUAUUAGAGCAAAACCAAGCGGCUUCGGUCGUGUUUUGCUGACUCAGAAUAACUUARCUGAUCGCACGGUCUUUGAACCGGCGACGUGUCAUACGAGUAUCUGCCUUAUCAAUUUUCGAUGGUAGUGUAUUGGACUACCAUGGUGUUGACGGGUAACGGAGAAUUAGGGUUCGACUCCGGAGAAGGGGCCUGAGAAAUGGCCACUACGUCUAAGGAUGGCAGCAGGCGCGCAAAUUACCCACUCUCGGAAAGAGGAGGUAGUGACGAGAAAUAACGAGACCGUUCUCUAUGAGGCCGGUUAUCGGAAUGGGUACAAUUUAAACCCUUUAACGAGUAUCUAUGAGAGGGCAAGUCUGGUGCCAGCAGCCGCGGUAAUUCCAGCUCUCAAAAUGCAUAGAACCAUUGCUGCGGUUAAAAAGCUCGUAGUUGAAUCUAUGCUUUAGGCUUGGUCCACUCUUUGAGUGUGUACUAGGUUCCUGAGGCUUUUUCGUUGGUUUUCUUGUUGUCGCCUUUAUUGGUGGUGGCAAGUGGCUGACAUAUUUACUUUGAACAAAUCAGAGUGCUCAAAACAGGCGUUUUGCUUGUAUGUUUUUGCAUGGAAUAAUAGAAUAGGACUUCGGUCUAGUUUUAUUGGUUUUAUAGAUCGUUGUAAUGAUUAAAAGAGACAGAACGGGGGCAUUCGUAUUGUUGCGUGAGAGGUGAAAUUCUUGGACCGCAGCAAGACGUACUACAGCGAAAGCAUUGCCAAGCU